rnacentral:rRNA from 1 species
UACGUAGGGGGCAAGCGUUGUCCGGAUUUAUUGGGCGUAAAGAGCGUGUAGGCGGCUUGGUAGGUCCGCUGUGAAAACUCGAGGCUCAACCUCGAGAUGUCGGCGGAAACCACUUGGCUAGAGUCCGGAAGAGGAGAGUGGAAUUCCCGGUGUAGCGGUGAAAUGCGCAGAUAUCGGGAAGAACACCUAUGGCGAAGGCAGCUCUCUGGGGACGGUACUGACGCUGAGACGCGAAAGCGUGGGGAGCGAACAGGAUUAGAUAC